CCUACGGGAGGCAGCAGUAAGGAAUAUUGGUCAAUGGGGGCAACCCUGAACCAGCCAUGCCGCGUGCAGGAUGAAGGCCCUAUGGGUCGUAAACUGCUUUUAUACCGGAGAAAACCCCCGUACGUGUACGGGGUUGAUAGUAUGGUAAGAAUAAGCAUCGGCUAACUUCGUGCCAGCAGCCGCGGUAAGACGAAGGAUGCAAGCGUUAUCCGGAUUCAUUGGGUUUAAAGGGUGCGUAGGCGGACCUGUAAGUCAGUGGUGAAAUCUCUUUGCUUAACAAAGAAACUGCCAUUGAUACUGCAAGUCUAGAGUAUAGAUGACGUUGGCGGAAUAUGACAUGUAGUGGUGAAAUACUUAGAUAUGUCAUAGAACACCGAUUGCGAAGGCAGCUAACGAAACUAUAACUGACGCUGAGGCACGAAAGUGCGGGGAUCAAACAGGAUUAGAUACCCUGGUAGUCCGCACCGUAAACGANANAUACUACGUGUUGUGAUAUGUACGUCGACGCGACCGAACGACGAACGACGAUAAGUAAUACCACCGUACGGAGGUACGGCCGGCCGACGGUACGAACGUAAACGUUAAGUAAGUUAGUACGGACGUGAGACGAGCGACGGACGACGACGAGGGAGGAGG
rnacentral:rRNA from 1 species